ensembl:lncRNA
CGAGACCCUGGGUCUCGACCCCGUCCUGUGCAACUGGGUCCUGGACUUUGACAUGCCGCCCCCAGGUGGUGAGGGUAGGAAACAACAUCUCCACCCUGCUGAUCCUCAAUACUCAGCCCUCUCCUGUACUCCCUGUUCACCCAUGACUGCGUGGCCAUGCACACCUCCAACUCAAUCAUCAAGUUUGUAGACGACACUACAGUGGUAGGCUUGGUUACCAACAACGAUGAGACGGCCUACAGGGAGGAGGUGAAGGCCCUCGGAGUGUGGUGUCAGGAAAAUAACCUCACACUCAAUGACAACAAAACAAAGGAGAUGAUCGUGGACUUCAGGAAACAGCAGAGGGAGCACCCCCCUGGCCAUAUCGACGGGACAGUAGUGGAGAAGGUGGAAAGUUUUAAGUUCCUCGGCGUACACAUCACGGACAAACUGAAAUGGUUCACCCACACAGACAGCGUGGUGAAGAAGGCACAACAGUGCCUCGUCAACCUCAGGAGGCUGAAGAAAUUUGGCUUGUCACCAAUUUGAUGAGAUGUGUGCAAUAGUAUAUCCAACCCAUACUGCCUUGUAUCUACAGGCGUUGUACUGUCUUUACACUUAGUACCAGUGGUCUUGGUUUGCUGAUCCCUACUAGGAGAGGGAGGUGCGAAACCAGUGCAGGCAACCAUUCCUUCUGCCUGAGUGUUAAAUCUGUGACACUCUGGCCUUGCAGCUUAUGUCUGAACUGGGCUGCAGUCCUCCUGAUUUGCUGAAUAUCCCUCUGGUGUUGGAGAAGCAGCUUCCUGUGCCUCCUACAUCGUGACGCACUCAAUCACCAUGAUGAAGGCUUUACCAGAUAUGUUCCCAUCACCUGUGGCUCCACCAAAGAAGUUAGGACAUUGUCACAACUCCCACCGAAGGUGGCAACCCUGCCUGUUCGGGUGGCGCUCGGCGGUCGUCGUCGCUGGUCUACUAGCUGCCACCGAUCCCAUUUUCCUUUUCUGUUUGUUUGGUCUUAUUGGUUGCAGUUGUCUCUUUUAUUUUGUUUUUUGAUUCAGUCUAUUUAAGCCUGUUAGGCCUGCCUGUUUUUGUGCGGGCUUGUUUUUCUGUUUGUCAGGUUGUGCGUGGUGUGUUCCUGUCUGUUUGUGCCCUGUGUUGCGUUGGACCAUUUUGUGUCGAUUUUCACCUGUUGUUUUGGGCGUUCGCUUUGGAAACCUAAUAAAGUCGGUUUCCCCAGUAUCAUCUGCUCUCUGCAUUUGACUCCGUACCCACCACUCCAGGCCUGGUGACAGACAUGCAAGGGAGGCUAUGCUUCACAUUCUUGAAUCUGCAGAAGACCCCAACACCUUUCUUCAGGCGAGACCACUCUUCAGCCCUGUCGUGAUUGUCUGCGAAACAAACUGCGUACUGGCCAUUGAAACCAUGCCUGUGGUGACCUUCCCAAAAGAGGACAUCUAUGCCAGAGUGACGUAUCUCAUGGCAUGUUAUUACGCCUUUCACCUCACAUAUCCCAAGUGUAUGGCGACACUCCUCUCAAUGCAGCAGACAUAAGUCCUCUCGGACGCCAUUCACGACCGGGACAAGACUUCUUCAUAUAAAAAGACUAUGGCCAAGUGGAAAAAGUUCAUUACUGACUACGGUUGCAACAUUUCUUCAUUUCCGGUCCCGAUAACAGAACUGUGUGUAUUGGCCCACACGAGAACCGAUCCGAUAACCUUUAAUAAAUAGGCAGGGCAUUUGUUGUUUAUUAUAAGAAGGUUUAAAGCACUGUUAUGUUUGUUAUCUUCCCAUUGGUCUUACAUUUUUACCUUGACCACCAAUAGCCUUUGUUGUUGUUUUUGCACACUUUGUUCUGCCCAUAUCAGCCUCUUGAGUCCUCAAUAAAGAAGAGAAAAGAAAUUAGAUGA